AAGAAAGAGAGAGAGAGAAAGAAAGAGAGAGAGAGAGGACAGUUAAGGUUCCGGAUUUCGUUCGCCAUGAAAAAUCCUGACGGGACAUCGACGCCUCUUCGUUUCACUACACUUGCACCGGUCUGGUGCAUUUUUCAGAAGGGAGCAGCUUUUAAAAAGAUUCGAUAAGAUUUAUACAAAAUACCUUUAAUAAGCUUCAAUAUAAGCAACCUUUAAUAGUAUCAUUAUGUAUUUUCUUUUCAAUCUAUUGGACUUAACGAAAAUAAACGAACAUUUGUUUUAGUUUGUUGCAAUCGA